rnacentral:rRNA from 1 species
UGGGGAAUAUUGGACAAUGGGCGAAAGCCUGAUCCAGCCAUGCCGCGUGUGUGAAGAAGGUCUUCGGAUUUAAAGCACUUUAAAGUUGGGAGGAAGGGCAGUAAGCUAAUACCUUGCUGUUUUGACGUUACCGACAGAAUAAGCACCGGGCUAACUUCGUGCCAGCAGCCGCGGUAAUACGAAGGGUGCAAGCGUUAAUCGGAAUUACUGGGCGUAAAGCGCGCGUAGGUGGUUCGUUAAGUUGGAUGUGAAAGCCCCGGGNUCAACCUGGGAACCGCAUCCAAAACUGGCGAGCUAGAGUACGGUAGAGGGUGGUGGAAUUCCCUGUGUAGCGGUGAAAUGCGUAGAUAUAGGAAGGAACACCAGUGGCGAAGGCGACCACCUGGACUGAUACUGACACUGAGGUGCGAAAGCGU